GACGAACCGUGCAAACGUUAUUCGGAAUCACUGGGCUUAAAGGGCGCGUAGGCGGGUCGGAUAGUCUGCGGUGAAAUCCUCCAGCUUAACUGGAGAACUGCCGUGGAUACUCCCGAUCUCGAGGAGGGUAGGGGCAUCUGGAACAGCCGGUGGAGCGGUGAAAUGCGUUGAUAUCGGCUGGAACUCCGGUGGCGAAGGCGAGAUGCUGGACCCUUUCUGACGCUGAGGCGCGAAAGCCAGGGGAGCGAACGGG
rnacentral:rRNA from 1 species